CCUACGGGUGGCAGCAGUGGGGAAUAUUGCACAAUGGGCGCAAGCCUGAUGCAGCCAUGCCGCGUGUGUGAAGAAGGCCUUCGGGUUGUAAAGCACUUUCAGCGGGGAGGAAGGCGGUGAGGUUAAUAACCUCAUCGAUUGACGUUACCCGUAGAAGAAGCACCGGCUAACUCCGUGCCAGCAGCCGCGGUAAUACGGAGGGUGCAAGCGUUAAUCGGAAUUACUGGGCGUAAAGCGCACGCAGGCGGUCUGUCAAGUCGGAUGUGAAAUCCCCGGGCUCAACCUGGGAACUGCAUUCGAAACUGGCAGGCUAGAGUCUUGUAGAGGGGGGUAGAAUUCCAGGUGUAGCGGUGAAAUGCGUAGAGAUCUGGAGGAAUACCGGUGGCGAAGGCGGCCCCCUGGACAAAGACUGACGCUCAGGUGCGAAAGCGUGGGGAGCAAACAGGAUUAGAUACCCGAGUAGUC
rnacentral:rRNA from 1 species